rnacentral:lncRNA from 1 species
GAGGAAGGCGCCAUCUCGCCCCUCGACCCAGAUCGCUCCCGGCCCGCCGCUCACCUUGAAGUUGACCGGGUCCACCCGAAGCUUGUGCGCGUGCAGGUCGCUCAGGGCGGACAGCGCGUUGGGCAUGUCGUCCACGUGCGCCACGGCGUUGGUCAGCGCGUCGGCCACCUUCUUGCCGUGGCCCUUAACCUGGGCAGAGCCGUGGCUCAGGUCGAAGUGCGGGAAGUAGGUCUUGGUCUGCGGGUGGCUGAGGAAGAGCCUGGGACGGGGGGCGGGGGCCGUGAGCUCCCAGCAGCGCGGCCUCCCGCCACGGCCCACGCGCCCUGCGGCCCUCUCCGAGCACCGGGACACAUCUGCGACCCCGCAGCAGGCCCCAGCCCCUCCUCGCGGGGCCCGGGUGCCCAGGCAGCUGCCCCUCCCAGGCUGCCCUGG